UACAGAGGGGGCAAGCGUUGUUCGGAAUUACUGGGCGUAAAGGGCGCGUAGGCGGCCUUCUAAGUCGAACGUGAAAUCCCCGGGCUCAACUCGGGAACUGCGUCCGAUACUGGGAGGCUUGAAUCCGGGAGAGGGAUGUGGAAUUCCAGGUGUAGCGGUGAAAUGCGUAGAUAUCUGGAGGAACACCGGUGGCGAAGGCGGCAGCCUGGACCGGUAUUGACGCUGAGGCGCGAAAGCCAGGGGAGCAAACGGG
rnacentral:rRNA from 1 species